AGAGUUUGAUCCUGGCUCAGGAUGAACGCUAGCGGCAGGCUUAAUACAUGCAAGUCGUGGGGCAGCGCAGGUAGCAAUACUGGGCGGCGACCGGCAAACGGGUGCGGAACACGUACACAACCUUCCUUCAAGUGGGGAAUAGCCCAGAGAAAUUUGGAUUAAUACCCCGUAACAUAACGAUGUGGCAUCACAUUGUUAUUAUAGCUUCGGCGCUUGUUGAUGGGUGUGCGGCUGAUUAGAUAGUUGGCGGGGUAACGGCCCACCAAGUCUACGAUCAGUAGCUGAUGUGAGAGCAUGAUCAGCCACACGGGCACUGAGACACGGGCCCGACUCCUACGGGAGGCAGCAGUAAGGAAUAUUGGUCAAUGGACGAAAGUCUGAACCAGCCAUGCCGCGUGAAGGAUUAAGGUCCUCUGGAUUGUAAACUUCUUUUAUCUGGGACGAAAAAAGGCGAUUCUUCGUCACUUGACGGUACCAGAUGAAUAAGCACCGGCUAACUCCGUGCCAGCAGCCGCGGUAAUACGGAGGGUGCAAGCGUUAUCCGGAUUCACUGGGUUUAAAGGGUGCGUAGGCGGGCAGGUAAGUCAGUGGUGAAAUCCUAGAG
rnacentral:rRNA from 1 species